GGGUGGGAAGAAAGUUAGCGGUCAGCUUCAACAUAAUGUGGUGUCUGCGCUUUCUGGUAACUCUACACCUAUGACCUCAUGUUAGUUUAAGAAUAUAAUAAACAGGAAGAGAAAUGGACCUGUCUACAUUUGAAACAGAAUCCUAGUUCAUGCUGUCUCCUGUCUCAGAAGACAAAGGAAUCUGCUUACUAAGUAUCUCUGCCCACAUUUUAAAAAGAAUAUCAAGAGAAGAUGCCUGUUGUAUACUGCCCUUGUAAGAAGCAAGGCCAGAAGACCGCAGCAGCACAAUCAAGCUAUGUAACAUCAGACUGGCUUGUCUGAAAUUUCUUGGCAAGUCCAAGAUAGCAUCAGCCACUUUAGGAGCUUCAGUGAAAUAUAUAACAACCUUGCAAAAAUCCAGAAAGAGUCUUAACUGAGUUUCAUUGCUUCUGCCUGGUGCUCUCCAGCAACUUGGGGGCUAGAGUUUUAAGUUUCUGUGAUAACAAAAGAGAGCUUAC